GGGGGUGUAGCUCAGUUGGUUAGAGCGCCUGCCUGUCACGCAGGAGGUCGCGAGUUCGAGUCUCGUCACUCCCGCCA
rnacentral:tRNA from 17 species